GAGGUGCUAGUAAAAAUAUUACCCUGCCUUGUCGAGACAGAGUUUCAGGUUAGACCCCUGAGCACCUUU
rnacentral:tRNA from 1 species